ensembl:lncRNA
UUACAUUUACAUGAUUAGAAUAAUCAUGUAAUUAUAAUUAAUGAGAAUUGAUUUGAUAAAAUAAUGAUGUCGAUGUCAAUGACACUGUCCAUGUGAGAGACAGACUCGGUCACGACCUUUAAGUCUUUAUUGAAGACUCAUCUCUUCAGUAGGUCCUAUGAUUGAGUGUUGUCUGGCCCAGGAGUGUGAAGGUGAACGGAAAGGCACUGGAGCAACGAACCGCCCUUGCUGUCUCAAGCCUGGCCGGUUCCUCUCUCUCCAAUGGGAUUCACUGCCUCUAACCCUAUUACAGGGGCUGAGUCACUGGCUUACUGGUGCUCUUUCAUGCCGUCCCUAGGAGGGGUGCGUCACUUGAGUGGGUUGAGUCACUGACGUGAUCUUCCUGUCUAGGUUGGCUCCCCCCUUGGGUUGUGCUGUGGCGGAGAUCUUUGUGGGCUAUACUCGGCCUUGUCUCAGGAUGGACCUGAGCCCUAGGACCAUGCCUCAGGACUACCUGGCUUGAUGUCUCCUUGCUGUCCCCAGUCCACCUGGUCGUGCUGCUGCUCCAGUUUCAACUGUUCUGCCUGCGGCUAUGGAACCCUGACCUGUUCACCGGAUGUGCUUCCUGUCCCUGACCUGCUGCUUCAACUCUCUAGAGACAGCAGGAGCGGUAGAGAUACUCUGAAUGAUUCCUCGGAUCACAAAUUAUUUAUUAUUACUUAUUUAUAAUGAUGGCCUACCAAAAGGCAAAAGGACUCCUUCGGGGAUUAAAAAUGUUUAAAAAAUAUAGGACAAAAAACACAUAGAGAGACCACAUCACAACAAGAGAGACAACACAACACUACAUAAAGAAAGACCUAAGACAACAACACAGCAUGGUAGCAACAUGACAACAACAUGGUAGCAACACAACAUGGCAGCAGAACAACAUGGUAGCAGCACAAAAUGUGGUACAAACAUUAUUGGGCACAGACAACAACACAAAAGGCAAGAAGGCAGAGACAUCAAUACACCACACGAAGCAGCCACAACUGGCCAAUGCCUCGCAAAGACACCUAUUGGUAGAUGGCUACAAAAUAAAAUUAAAAGCAGACAUUGAAUAUCCCUUUGAGAAUGAUUAAGUUAUUAAUUACACUUUGGAUAGUGUAUCAAUACACCCAGUCACUACAAAGAUACAGGUGUCCUUCCUAACUCAGUUGCUGGAGAGAAAAGAAACCGCUCAGGGAUUACACCAUGAGGCCAAUGGUGACUUUAAAACAGUGACUGAGGUUAAUGGCUGUGAUAGGAGAAAACUGAGAAUGGAUCAACAACAUUGUAGUUACUCCACAAUACUAAACUACAUGACAGAGUGAAAAAAAGAAAGCUUGUACAGAAUACAUUUUUUCCAAAACAUGCUUCUUGUUGGC